GCAUAUAGCUCAGUUGGGAGAGUGCUUGACUGGCAGUCAAGAGGUCAGUGGUUGAAGCUCACUUAUCUCUGCC
rnacentral:tRNA from 1 species